GAUUUCUGGUACGGUGCACUUGGCCCGGCUAGGUUACUAGUUUGUGUGCCGGUGUGCGCCUGCCAUCUUUCUGGUUAACGUUUCUACCUUCACUGGUCUGAGACGCAACCCAGAUCUUUUACUUUGAAAAAAUUAGAGUGUUUAAAGCAGGCUUGUUGCUAUGAAUACAUUAGCAUGGAAUAAUAAUUUAGGACUUUGGUCUUAUUUUGUUGGUUUCUAGGACUAAAGUAAUGAUUGAUAGGGAUAGUUGGGGGUGCUAGUAUUCAGCGGCCAGAGGUGAAAUUCUUGGAUUCGCUGAAGACUAACUUAUGCGAAAGCAUU
rnacentral:rRNA from 1 species